GCUCUGCUGUCACUCCUGCACUUUCCAUUGUGCUGCAGUUAGAUUAUCUCAUUUCUGGGAGAUACUCCAGUGAGUUUGCUGAACCCCACGGAAUGUUUUUACCACGAUAAUCCAGUAUUUAUAAAGAAGAAACAGUCUUGUAUAUAAGGUCUUCACCCUUUGUAGCUAGUUUUGAGUAACUGCAAAUAUGAAUCUGCCCAGCUAUAAUAUUUUUACAAAUGGAGUGAAGGAGAAGGGGUGAGGAAAAAAUGGAGGAGGAAAAGCCAGUUAUCUCUUAAUGACUUUGGUGCUGGAAAUCAUUCAAAUUACUCUUCCACCUCGUAGAACAAGACCUGAAAAUGGUACUUGGAGCUAAAGACUUAGAUUGGAUUUACGGGGCUUAGCUGGUUGCCAGCAAACUGUCAUGGAGUGAAGUCUAAUUGCAUCCACAAAUGAUGUAUCCCAUCGAUGAGCACCAAGAAGACCCCAGUUCUUCACUCCCAGACUGAUGCCCGGCCUGACCUGCCACUGCAGAGCUAUUCCUGAGCUCAGAUUUACUGUGACUCGCUGUAGAGAACUAAGCCAAACCUGCUGUUUUAUUGGAAAAUCUCCAUUCAGACACAAAUUGAGUUCAAUAAUUGCUCAGCCAACUGUGUUUUUCUUGAACUUGCUACAUCUACUACUUAUAUAGAGUAUUUUAGGAGUUUCUCUCCAGUAGCUGUCUUGUUGGAAGACAAAGCACUGGUCUGUUUGGUAGAUCUUAAGAUAGAAUAAAGCAAGUGCCACCCUGCAGCUGGUUUAUUGGAGGACUUAUGUGGAGCUGAGAAAACACACUGGUACAGAUGUGUUCCUGUUUCUUAGAUUUCAAAACUUCCUAGUUUAAAUUCAUCUUCAAGCUCCACUUUGAUAUCUGCAGAACUUAAAGACAGUAAAAGAAGCACGAGCAUAUAGGACUGAUGCUGCCAGUCAUUUCUGUCUGAGAGCUCAAAUACAGCAGCAUAAGAGCAAGGUACAGUGGAUAAGGAAAGGAAAAUAACUGUUUAUCCCAAAGAUUCUCCUUUCUCUAUUUUAGUGCUUGUCAGCCUGACUAUGUGCCUCCACAAGUCCUGCUGGAGGGCAGCCCUGUUGGCUGGAGCCUUCCUCUACUGAGUGUGUGGGGCCCAUUAAGGAAGUGAAGGACAUCUUUUGAGAGAAGCUUCAUCUUUUUACAUGUUUAAUAUCAUUGCAGAUCUGAGAAGGACAACUGAAUUGGAAAUCUUGUUUCUAGUGCUUUUUUUUUUUUUACCAGUAAUUUUCUCCCCAUUCCUUUACUCUGAUUAAAUUAAUCUGUCAU
rnacentral:lncRNA from 1 species